GAUGAACGCUGGCGGCGUGCCUAAUACAUGCAAGUCGAGCGAACAGACGAGGAGCUUGCUCCUCUGAUGUUAGCGGCGGACGGGUGAGUAACACGUGGAUAACCUACCUAUAAGACUGGGAUAACUUCGGGAAACCGGAGCUAAUACCGGAUAACAUGUUGAACCGCAUGGUUCAACAGUGAAAGACGGUCUUGCUGUCACUUAUAGAUGGAUCCGCGCCGCAUUAGCCAGUUGGUAAGGUAACGGCUUACCAAGGCAACGAUGCGUAGCCGACCUGAAGGGGUGAUCGGCCACGCUGGAACUGGGAGACGGUCCAGACUCCUACGGGAGGCAGCAGUAGGGAAUCUUCCGCAAUGGGCGAAAGCCUGACGGAGCAACGCCGCGUGAGUGAAGAAGGUCUUCGGAUCGUAAAACUCUGUUAUUAGGGAAGAACAAAUGUGUAAGUAACUAUGCACGUCUUGACGGUACCUAAUCAGAAAGCCACGGCUAACUACGUG
rnacentral:rRNA from 1 species